rnacentral:rRNA from 1 species
CGGGUGAGUAUAAUGUGGGAAUCUGCCUUUUGGUUUGGAAUAACACGGGGAAACUUGUGCUAAUACCGAAUAAGCCCUUACGGGGAAAGUUUUAACGCCGAAAGAUGAGCCUGCACUUGAUUAGCUAGUUGGUAAGGUAAAAGCUUACCAAGGCAACGAUCAAUAGCUGUUCUUAGAGGAAGACCAGCCACAUUGGGACUGAGACACGGCCCAGACUCCUACGGGAGGCAGCAGUGGGGAAUCUUGCACAAUGGGGGAAACCCUGAUGCAGCGAUGCCGCGUGAGUGAAGAAGGCCUUUGGGUUGUAAAACUCUUUCGUCGGGGAAGAAAAUGACUGUACCCGAAUAAGAAGGUCCGGCUAACUUCGUGCCAGCAGCCGCGGUAAUACGAAGGGACCUAGCGUAGUUCGGAAUUACUGGGCUUAAAGAGCUCGUAGGUGGUUAAAAAAGUUGAUGGUGAAAUCCCAAGGCUUAACCUUGGAACUGCCAUCAAAA